rnacentral:rRNA from 1 species
CCCUUAGAUGUCCUGGGCCGCACGCGCGUUACACUGAUGCAUUCAACGAGCUUAUAACCUUGGCCGAGAGGCCUGGGCAAUCUUGUUAACGUGCAUCGUGAUAGGGAUAGAUUAUUGAAAUUAUUAAUCUUGAACGAGGAAUUCCUAGUAAACGCAGAUCAUCAAUCUGCAUUGAUUACGUCCCUGCCCUUUGUACACACCGCCCGUCGCACCUACCGAUUGGAUGGUCCGGUGAAUACCAUGGAUUGAGAGUACGAAUGGGUUCGCUCAUUUCUGCUGCUCGAGAAGUGGAGUAAAUCUUAUCAUUUAGAGGAAGGAGAAGUCGUAACA